UACGAAGGUUCCGAGCGUUAUCCGGAUUUAUUGGGUUUAAAGGGUGCGUAGGCGGGUUAUUAAGUCAGUGGUGAAAGCCUACAGCUUAACUGUAGAAUUGCCAUUGAUACUGAUAAUCUUGAGUAUGAUUGAGGUGGGCGGAAUGUGUCAUGUAGCGGUGAAAUGCUUAGAUAUGACACAGAACACCGAUUGCGAAGGCAGCUCACUAAGCCAUAACUGACGCUGAUGCACGAAAGCGUGGGGAGCAAACAGG
rnacentral:rRNA from 1 species